AUUGAACGCUGGCGGCAUGCUUUACACAUGCAAGUCGAGCGGCAGCGCGGGGGCAACCCUGGCGGCGAGCGGCGAACGGGUGAGUAAUGCAUCGGAACGUGUCCCGUAGUGGGGGAUAACGCCGGGAAACCGGCGCUAAUACCGCAUAUGCUCUACGGAGGAAAGGGGGGGACCCGCAAGGGCCUCCCGCUAUGGGAGCGGCCGAUGUACGAUUAGCGUGUUGGUGAGGUAAAGGCUUACCAAGGCGACGAUCGGUAGCUGGUCUGAGAGGAUGAGCAGCCACACUGGGACUGAGACCCGGCCCGGACUCCUACGGGAGGCGGCAGUGGGGAAUUUUGGACAAUGGGGGCAACCCUGAUCCAGCCAUGCCGCGUGCGGGAAGAAGGCCUUCGGGUUGUAAACCGCUUUUGUCCGGGAAGAAAAGGCAUUCCCUAAUACGGGGUGUUCUUGACGGUACCGGAAGAAUAAGCACCGGCUAACUACGUGCCAGCCGCCGCGGUAA
rnacentral:rRNA from 1 species